UACGAAGGGGGCUAGCGUUGUUCGGAAUUACUGGGCGUAAAGCGCGCGUAGGCGGACGUUUAAGUCAGGGGUGAAAUCCCAGGGCUCAACCCUGGAACUGCCUUUGAUACUGAGCGUCUGGAGUUCGGGAGAGGUGAGUGGAAUUCCGAGUGUAGAGGUGAAAUUCGUAGAUAUUCGGAGGAACACCAGAAGCGAAGGCGGCUCACUGGCCCGAUACUGACGCUGAGGCGCGAAAGCGUGGGGAGCAAACAGG
rnacentral:rRNA from 1 species